GUGGGGAAUCUUGCGCAAUGGGCGAAAGCCUGACGCAGCCAUGCCGCGUGAAUGAUGAAGGUCUUAGGAUUGUAAAAUUCUUUCACCGGGGACGAUAAUGACGGUACCCGGAGAAGAAGCUCCGGCUAACUUCGUGCCAGCAGCCGCGGUAAUACGAAGGGGGCUAGCGUUGCUCGGAAUUACUGGGCGUAAAGGGCGCGUAGGCGGACAGCUUAGUCAGAGGUGAAAGCCCAGGGCUCAACCUUGGAAUUGCCUUUGAUACUGGCUGUCUUGAGUUUGGGAGAGGUGAGUGGAACUCCGAGUGUAGAGGUGAAAUUCGUAGAUAUUCGCAAGAACACCAGUGGCGAAGGCGGCUUACUGGUCCGGUACUGACGCUGAGGUGCGAAAGCGUGGGGAGCAAACAGGAUUAGAAACCCGAGUAGUCC
rnacentral:rRNA from 1 species